CGGCGUGCCUAAUACAUGCAAGUCGAACGAACGGAGGAAGAGCUUGCUCUUCCAAAGUUAGUGGCGGACGGGUGAGUAACACGUGGGCAACCUGCCUGUAAGUUGGGGAUAACUCCGGGAAACCGGGGCUAAUACCGAAUGAUAAAGUGUGGCGCAUGCCACGCUUUUGAAAGAUGGUUUCGGCUAUCGCUUACAGAUGGGCCCGCGGUGCAUUAGCUAGUUGGUAGGGUAAUGGCCUACCAAGGCAACGAUGCAUAGCCGACCUGAGAGGGUGAUCGGCCACACUGGGACUGAGACACGGCCCAGACUCCUACGGGAGGCAGCAGUAGGGAAUCUUCCGCAAUGGACGAAAGUCUGACGGAGCAACGCCGCGUGUAUGAAGAAGGUUUUCGGAUCGUAAAGUACUGUUGUUAGAGAAGAACAAGGAUAAGAGUAACUGCUUGUCCCUUGACGGUAUCUAACCAGAAAGCCACGGCUAACUACGUGCCAGCAGCCGCGGUAAUACGUAGGUGGCAAGCGUUGUCCGGAUUUAUUGGGCGUAAAGCGCGCGCAGGCGGUCUUUUAAGUCUGAUGUGAAAGCCCCCGGCUUAACCGGGGAGGGUCAUUGGAAACUGGAAGACUGGAGUGCAGAAGAGGAGAGUGGAAUUCCACGUGUAGCGGUGAAAUGCGUAGAUAUGUGGAGGAACACCAG
rnacentral:rRNA from 1 species